UGCUUCCUUUUCUGAAGGCACUACUGGUGUU
rnacentral:piRNA from 1 species